UCCUGAUCUGUUUCACCAGUCUUUGUGCUUGUCUCCACACCCUUCCAGGUGCCGCCCAUCUUCCACAUUAUCCCCUGUCUAUUUAUACCUGUGUUCUCUGUUUGUCUGUUGCCAGGGCACCUGUCGGGCGUUUCUCGCUCAGUGUUCACUCAUCAUUGAGCUGCAGCCCUUCUCGAACCACUCUAAGAUACCAUACCUCAUCACACUGAUGUCCGGGAAGGCUCUCGCCUGGACUAUGGCAGUAUGGGAACAACAGUUGGCUGAAUGCUUCAGUCUGGAGGAGUUUGUGGCAGAGGUAAAGAAGGUUUUCGAUGCUCCACUGUCUGGGAGAGAGGCUGCCCGUAAGUUACUCCAGCUUCGGCAAGGCUCCCGCAGUGUUACAUGUACUGUCAACUGUGGGACCUAAUAUAGACAGGUAUGCCUUUCCAAAUCAUAUCCAGACAAUUGAAUUUACAACAGGAGGACUCCAAUCAAGUUGUAGAAACAUCUCAAGGUUGAUCAAUGGACACAGGAUGCACCUGAGCUCAAUUGAGUCUCAUAGCAAAGGGUCUGAUUACUAUUGUUAAUAAGUUCUUUCUGUUUUUUGUCAAUACAUUUGCAAUAAUUUCUAAAAACCUGUUGUUGCUUUGUUGUUAUGGGGUAUUGUCUGUAGAUAGAGGGGGGGGGGGAACUAUUUAAUCCAUUUUAGAAUAAGGUUGUAAAGUAACAAAAUGUGGGAAACGUCCAGGGGUGCUGCCCUUCCAAGGCAUUCACUGUCGUCUUAAGACCCUCCCACAUUAUGUGAUUGGAGGACACUUUCAGGAGGUGGAGUCCGGGCAUUGUGGGGUUGACCAGCUCUGGGAAGAGGUCGUCAUGGAAACGAUUGCCAGACAGCUGGGUUAGUCUGGCCUGCAGUUUGAGGGCGCGGAGGAGAAGAGAGACAUAGGGAGACAGGCUGAGGCCACACACUGACACAGAGUGUCUGGAGAAGUUGGACUGGAGUGUGAACCCGCUGGGUGACGGACCCUGUCCUGCCUGCUGUCAGCCUGCCCCCUAAUGGCCAGCUUCCCCCUGCUGGCCUGCAUCUUCAAACCCUGCUGCUUGUAGCUACACAGCCUC
ensembl:lncRNA